rnacentral:rRNA from 1 species
AACGAACGCUGGCGGUAGGCCUAACACAUGCAAGUCGAACGGCAGCACAGGAGAGCUUGCUCUCUGGGUGGCGAGUGGCGGACGGGUGAGGAAUACAUCGGAAUCUACUUUUUCGUGGGGGAUAACGUAGGGAAACUUACGCUAAUACCGCAUACGACCCUCGGGUGAAAGCAGGGGACCUUCGGGCCUUGCGCGAUUAAAUGAGCCGAUGUCGGAUUAGCUAGUUGGCGGGGUAAAGGCCCACCAAGGCGACGAUCCGUAGCUGGUCUGAGGGGAGGCUCAGCCACACUGGAACUGAGACACGGUCCAGACUCCUACGGGAGGCAGCAGUGGGGAAUAUUGGACAAUGGGCGCAAGCCUGAUCCAGCCAUACCGCGUGGGUGAAGAAGGCCUUCGGGUUGUAAAGCCCUUUUGUUGGGAAAGAAAAGCGGUCGGUUAAUACCCGAUUGUUCUGACGGUACCCAAAGAAUAAGCACCGGCUAACUUCGUGCCAGCCGCCGCAGUAAAAC